rnacentral:rRNA from 1 species
UACGAAGGGGGGCUAGCGUUGUUCGGAUUUACUGGGCGUAAAGCGCACGUAGGCGGAUCGAUCAGUCAGGGGUGAAAUCCCAGAGCUCAACUCUGGAACUGCCUUUGAUACUGUCGAUCUGGAGUAUGGAAGAGGUGAGUGGAAUUCCGAGUGUAGAGGUGAAAUUCGUAGAUAUUCGGAGGAACACCAGUGGCGAAGGCGGCUCAC